UUCACUGAUGACGGCAAAGAGUGAAAAAUCCCUGAAAAAAGACAGAGUUAAAAAACCCAGCCAGACCUGAUCAGGAGCAGCUCCCCGCGCCCACCGCCGUAGAGCUGCUAGGGUUCCCCACCGCCGCCGGCCUCCUCGGUCGCCGUCGCUACCCUACCGAUCGCCGCCGCCCUCACCUGUCGUCGCCGUCGGUCUCCGCUCCGUUCCAGCCCCACCACGAGCGAGGAGACCGACCGGUUCGCGCCUCCCUGCCGGUCGCCACCCGCUGCCGCCCCUUCCCGUUCAUUCAGGCGGCAAGCCGGCAACUGGCAGGGCGUCCACUUCCCUGCUGGACAAGGGGACAACCUUGGCUUGGUUGAAUCUUCCCUGCUCGUGGCAGAUCCAUGUAGGACGUUGACCCCGGUGCUCUUCUUGCUCGAGGCACACAUCUCCUAUGGCUUCUUUCGUCCUGCAGCUUGCAUCCGCUUCGGUCCUUCCGUGCCAAUCCGGCUGCUCUUCUCCUUUCGUCUUGCAGCUCCAUUACUCCGGUCCGACAACUCAUUCUGACCAAGCAGUAGGCUGCUAACAAAAUGUCUUCAGCAAGAUCAGGAGUUUCCACCGCAGCCGUGACCGGAAGAACAAGAAAACAUCCAGCUUGGGAGCAUGCCCUACCCAUUACUGUUUUUUCAGUUCCUAUGAUGGAUUGAUGGUAAUCAGCUCAUGGUUUGAUGGAUAUGGAAUAUUGUGAUAUUGUUGGCUUGUGGUUGUAGUGUACUUUUGAGUCUCGAAUUAUUUCUUUAAUGAUGAAUGCCCAGAAAACUAACAUGUUGGUGGUUGUUAUUUGAUACGAAUAUUUGUUGCAAGGUUACAUGGUUGAAUAUUGUCCAGAUGGACUAGUUUUUAGUCUAUAAAGGACGGUUGUUCAAAUCAAGUUUCAUACUCUUGUCAACAACUUAGAAAUGUACAUGAUAAUCUCUAAUUCGUAAGUAUUAUUACAAAUACGCUAUAUGGACAUAGCGUCCACAAUAUCACCCGUUAUCCGUAUUCCACUACACUGACCUCGAUUCGCUAUCACCCCGCUAUCCGCUAUUUAAAACCUUGCUUGACGGAAGUUAAAUUUGUACAACUUUCUUUCCCUUGUUUCAUACUAUUAUUGUAUAUGCUCCUGUGAAUCUUUUUUUUGAAGGAUGACCAGCUUUCAAAGAUGUGCGUGGACCAAAUUCACGGCGAUCACACAAGUCCUACUGCUUGCUGAUCGGACGAUGGUCCAGUAAGACUUCAAUCGAAGAUCACAUUCAAGUUAUGGAUCCACUUGCUCAUCGCUCAAGUCUAAGAUAAGGAUACACGAGGAGAUAACGUCUGGACCCUUGUAGGAGACCAUCCUCAAGCAGCGCCAAUCCGUCGGCCGGGACGAUGACACCAUUAUAAAUCAGCUCCCAAUUCUAUCUCCCUAUUUUUGCCUCCAUGAUGCCACGAUACUGUAUUUUCUUAUAGCUGUCGUUGGCAGCAGUUAAUCAAAGAAUUAGGUAAUCUUCUAAUCAGAUCUGCACUUGACAAGCAUCGCAUGGUCAGCCGUUUUACACACAGGUACGUGCAGGUAGUCAAAACUGAGUUGUGCAUUAUACGCACAGUUGAGUAGUAUAUGGUAAUGUGAGUUUGUGGUUAGCUAGCUAGUUAAGUGGCAAUUAGGAUAAGAAGGAACCGUAAUGUUGGCAUGCCUAUGAGUGGUGGCGAAUUCAUGUUGUGAGAAUAUGUCAAUUCUAUUGAGAUUGUCUUUCUGGGAUGUGUGUUUAUCUCUGUAAUCUGUAUGAAACUUUGGGUUUGAAUUAAUUUGCUAAAAUAGUAGAUGCUCACCCUGAUUUCUAACAAUGCCGAGAGAAUUUGUUAGGUGGCAUUGCUUUUUAGUAGUUCAAAUGGUGAUUUCUGCUAUGAUUUUCUGUUAUUGUAAUGGUAUGUGGAACUCAAAGUUCACUCUUUUGAUAUAUUUUGCUUAAAUGUGUGUAAAUGUAUGGCUCUUUCAUGACUUGAACCUUGCAAUGGUAGGGUUUCCACAACACGAUGUAUGACCUAAACAAUGGCUGAAAAUAUUUUUUGGAGUAUUUGUUUCGAAAGAUAUUUCUGAUAUUUUAGUGCAUGUGAUAUAUUUUAGAUAGUACUGCCUCAAUAUUUUGUGCUCGAUUUUUAUUGCAGUUACCAAAAUAUUUAAAAUUACAGUUAACAUGUACAAUAUACAAUAUUUACAGUGUUUAUUAAAUAUAUAUUUAUGAAGAUGUGCGUUGCACAUGCACGCAUACAAGUCUUAGGUAAAUUAAGAAACUGAGAUUUAUUUUAAUUUGGAGCGCCUCUUGUUGUACCACGGUUCCUUCUCUUAGAGAUGUAUACUUGUACUACAUGUUUUGGACUGGCAGGGGAAAAUGUUCUCCUUUCAGUCUUUGUUGAAGUCAACCCAUCCAUGCAAUCUCUUUAUUUAUGUAGAUAAAUAUAUAUGCCUUGUAGUUUUAUCAUGUGCAAGCCAUUCAACUAACUUGCUCUUAUCCAUGCAGAUAGAGACAUGGAGUAGGAGGACGAGCAGCAACCGCAAAUAAGCCUGAUGAUGGUGGGGUGCGGGAGGAAAUGGUAAUGAUGCUUAUGGCAUGACCAUAACCUGGACCUAUUGGCAUUUAGAGGUUGCAAACAGAGACGGCGUUCAGACAACAAUCUGGACCACUAGCCUUCCUUGCCUUUUUUCUUUUGGUUGUGGUUGUUGCAUCACCGGCGGCAUCGCGAAUCAGUAUGUAGUGCGCUUGUGCAGUUGAGGUAUGUACUACAGUGUCCAUGUAGUAGGUGAGGUGUUGUUGUUGCUAGAUUCAAUGAUGCUCACCUCAGUUUUGCGUUACCUGGGGGACAACCGUUGUGAUCUUAUUUGUCGACACUUGUUAUAUUGUGAUCUUAUUGGUCGUUGUUAUGGUGUGUGCUAUAUGUAUAUAUAUAUAUAUAUGGAUGUGUUGUGGACUA